GAUGAACGCUGGCGGCGUGCCUAAUACAUGCAAGUCGAGCGAACGGACGAGAAGCUUGCUUCUCUGAUGUUAGCGGCGGACGGGUGAGUAACACGUGGAUAACCUACCUAUAAGACUGGGAUAACUUCGGGAAACCGGAGCUAAUACCGGAUAAUAUUUUGAACCGCAUGGUUCAAAAGUGAAAGCCGGUCUUGCUGUCACUUAUAGAUGGAUCCGCGCUGCAUUAGCUAGUUGGUAAGGUAACGGCUUACCAAGGCAACGAUGCAUAGCCGACCUGAGAGGGUGAUCGGCCACACUGGAACUGAGACACGGUCCAGACUCCUACGGGAGGCAGCAGUAGGGAAUCUUCCGCAAUGGGCGAAAGCCUGACGGAGCAACGCCGCGUGAGUGAUGAAGGUCUUCGGAUCGUAAAACUCUGUUAUGAGGGAAGAACAUAUGUGUAAGUAACUGUGCACAUCUUGACGGUACCUAAUCAGAAAGCCACGGCUAACUACGUG
rnacentral:rRNA from 1 species